rnacentral:rRNA from 1 species
ACACGACUACAUUAGAUACCCCGUAGUCCUAGGCGUAAAUGAUGCGAGUUAAGUGUGGGGGUAUCUACGAGAUGGCCCUGUGCUGUAGGGUAGCCGUUAAACUCGCUGCCUGGGGAGUACGGUCGCAAGGCUGAAACUUAAAGGAAUUGGCGGGGAGCACCACAAGAGGUCGGAGGCUGCGGUUCAAUUGGACUCAACGCCGGAAAACUCAUCGGGAGCGACAGCAGUAUGAUUGCCAGGUUGAUGACCUUGCUUGACAAGCUG